CGAAUUAGUGUAAGGAGCGUGAGUCCAUCGCGUGGAGGUGAGGACGUGAGGAUGCAUGGAGGCCGGACGAGGGCACAAGGCCUCAGCGUCGUCCUCCUCUCUGCGUGGCCUCAGCACAUGCGUCGUCUGUCCAGGACGAACAGAGGGAUGUGUUGGUAUCUCCAAACUCCCUGGGAAGGAUGGACGACUGGAAAGUGCCUAUGUAAGUGUUUCGAGGCCUCGACUCCCGCGUGAGUGAGUCCCGACACACGCAGAGCACUGCCACACGCCACUGGCCCGGCGAGAUGGAGCCCACGCACGCCGCCGACGGAGGGCUGACGAGGCCUUGGACACUAGAAAUGGAUGGGAUGUGACGUCCACAAAUGUUGUCUUGGACAGCUCCGCACCAACCACACCACAGAUACAGUUGCUGUCUCUGCCUGUGCCCAGUUGAUAUAACUUCCAUUGCUGUUUACCCCUGCCAAGCGCCUCCUCCUAUUGAACAGAAUGUUUGAUGAUCCUUAGAGCCUCAUUGUUACAGACAAUGAUGGAACCUCCAUCAAUAGCAGUUUCUUGGUCUGGGCCAUGAGUUCAGGGAUUGUAUCUACACAUUCGACCCAUAGAACUAAUGUUUAGGUUUUAUUAAGACAAUAUAUUUUUCCUUAGUUUUAAUGCCAUAAAUUUAAUAUCACAUUCAAUUCCAAAUUUAUUAAUUAUAGGUCACUAUUCUUGGCUUCAGGCCAGCAGUAGAAGUCCCAUUCAGCUAUCUAGUAUUUUACAGGAGCACUGCUGCCACCACAACAGGAGACCUGUACCAGAUGGCUACGGAGCAAGUGCUUCAGGGAGAGUAGACCCACAAGGACCCUCAAAAUGAAAC